GGGUUGUGAGGUUAAGCGACUAAGCGUACACGGUGGAUGCCCUGGCAGUCAGAGGCGAUGAAGGACGUGCUAAUCUGCGAUAAGCGUCGGUAAGGUGAUAUGAACCGUUAUAACCGGCGAUUUCCGAAUGGGGAAACCCAGUGUGUUUCGACACACUAUCAUUAACUGAAUCCAUAGGUUAAUGAGGCGAACCGGGGGAACUGAAACAUCUAAGUACCCCGAGGAAAAGAAAUCAACCGAGAUUCCCCCAGUAGCGGCGAGCGAACGGGGAGCAGCCCAGAGCCUGAAUCAGUGUGUGUGUUAGUGGAAGCGUCUGGAAAGGCGCGCGAUACAGGGUGACAGCCCCGUACACAAAAAUGCACAUGCUGUGAGCUCGAUGAGUAGGGCGGGACACGUGGUAUCCUGUCUGAAUAUGGGGGGACCAUCCUCCAAGGCUAAAUACUCCUGACUGACCGAUAGUGAACCAGUACCGUGAGGGAAAGGCGAAAAGAACCCCGGCGAGGGGAGUGAAAAAGAACCUGAAACCGUGUACGUACAAGCAGUGGGAGCACGCUUAGGCGUGUGACUGCGUACCUUUUGUAUAAUGGGUCAGCGACUUAUAUUCUGUAGCAAGGUUAACCGAAUAGGGGAGCCGAAGGGAAACCGAGUCUUAACUGGGCGUUAAGUUGCAGGGUAUAGACCCGAAACCCGGUGAUCUAGCCAUGGGCAGGUUGAAGGUUGGGUAACACUAACUGGAGGACCGAACCGACUAAUGUUGAAAAAUUAGCGGAUGACUUGUGGCUGGGGGUGAAAGGCCAAUCAAACCGGGAGAUAGCUGGUUCUCCCCGAAAGCUAUUUAGGUAGCGCCUCGUGAAUUCAUCUCCGGGGGUAGAGCACUGUUUCGGCAAGGGGGUCAUCCCGACUUACCAACCCGAUGCAAACUGCGAAUACCGGAGAAUGUUAUCACGGGAGACACACGGCGGGUGCUAACGUCCGUCGUGAAGAGGGAAACAACCCAGACCGCCAGCUAAGGUCCCAAAGUCAUGGUUAAGUGGGAAACGAUGUGGGAAGGCCCAGACAGCCGUGAUGUUGGCUUAGAAGCAGCCAUCAUUUAAAGAAAGCGUAAUAGCUCACUGGUCGAGUCGGCCUGCGCGGAAGAUGUAACGGGCUAAACCAUGCACCGAAGCUGCGGCAGCGACACUAUGUGUUGUUGGGUAGGGGAGCGUUCUGUAAGCCUGUGAAGGUGUGCUGUGAGGCAUGCUGGAGGUAUCAGAAGUGCGAAUGGUGACAUAAGUAACGAUAAAGCGGGUGAAAAGCCCGCUCGCCGGAAGACCAAGGGUCCUGUCCAACGUUAAUCGGGGCAGGGUGAGUCGACCCCUAAGGCGAGGCCGAAAGGCGUAGUCGAUGGGAAACAGGUUAAUAUUCCUGUACUUGGUGUUACUGCGAAGGGGGGACGGAGAAGGCUAUGUUGGCCGGGCGACGGUUGUCCCGGUUUACGCGUGUAGGCUGGUUUUCCGUGCAAAUCCGGAAAAUCAAGGCUGAGGCGUGAUGACGAGGCACUACGGUGCUGAAGCAACAAAUGCCCUGCUUCCGUGAAAAGCCUCUAAGCAUCAGGUAACAUCAAAUCGUACCCCAAACCGACACAGGUGGUCAGGUAGAGAAUACCAAGGCGCUUGAGAGAACUCGGGUGAAGGAACUAGGCAAAAUGGUGCCGUAACUUCGGGAGAAGGCACGCUGAUAUGUAGGUGAAGCGACUUGCUCGUGGAGCUGAAAUCAGUCGAAGAUACCAGCUGGCUGCAACUGUUUAUUAAAAACACAGCACUGUGCAAACACGAAAGUGGACGUAUACGGUGUGACGCCUGCCCGGUGCCGGAAGGUUAAUUGAUGGGGUCAGCGCAAGCGAAGCUCUUGAUCGAAGCCCCGGUAAACGGCGGCCGUAACUAUAACGGUCCUAAGGUAGCGAAAUUCCUUGUCGGGUAAGUUCCGACCUGCACGAAUGGCGUAAUGAUGGCCAGGCUGUCUCCACCCGAGACUCAGUGAAAUUGAACUCGCUGUGAAGAUGCAGUGUACCCGCGGCAAGACGGAAAGACCCCGUGAACCUUUACUAUAGCUUGACACUGAACAUUGAGCCUUGAUGUGUAGGAUAGGUGGGAGGCUUUGAAGUGUGGACGCCAGUCUGCAUGGAGCCGACCUUGAAAUACCACCCUUUAAUGUUUGAUGUUCUAACGUUGACCCGUAAUCCGGGUUGCGGACAGUGUCUGGUGGGUAGUUUGACUGGGGCGGUCUCCUCCUAAAGAGUAACGGAGGAGCACGAAGGUUGGCUAAUCCUGGUCGGACAUCAGGAGGUUAGUGCAAUGGCAUAAGCCAGCUUGACUGCGAGCGUGACGGCGCGAGCAGGUGCGAAAGCAGGUCAUAGUGAUCCGGUGGUUCUGAAUGGAAGGGCCAUCGCUCAACGGAUAAAAGGUACUCCGGGGAUAACAGGCUGAUACCGCCCAAGAGUUCAUAUCGACGGCGGUGUUUGGCACCUCGAUGUCGGCUCAUCACAUCCUGGGGCUGAAGUAGGUCCCAAGGGUAUGGCUGUUCGCCAUUUAAAGUGGUACGCGAGCUGGGUUUAGAACGUCGUGAGACAGUUCGGUCCCUAUCUGCCGUGGGCGCUGGAGAACUGAGGGGGGCUGCUCCUAGUACGAGAGGACCGGAGUGGACGCAUCACUGGUGUUCGGGUUGUCAUGCCAAUGGCACUGCCCGGUAGCUAAAUGCGGAAGAGAUAAGUGCUGAAAGCAUCUAAGCACGAAACUUGCCCCGAGAUGAGUUCUCCCUGACUCCUUGAGAGUCCUGAAGGAACGUUGAAGACGACGACGUUGAUAGGCCGGGUGUGUAAGCGCAGCGAUGCGUUGAGCUAACCGGUACUAAUGAACCGUGAGGCUUAACCUUACAACGCCGAAGCUGUU
rnacentral:rRNA from 1 species